AUUGAACGCUGGCGGAAUGCUUUACACAUGCAAGUCGAACGGCAGCACGGGGGCAACCCUGGUGGCGAGUGGCGAACGGGUGAGUAAUACAUCGGAACGUGCCCAGUCGUGGGGGAUAACGUAGCGAAAGCUACGCUAAUACCGCAUACGAUCUAUGGAUGAAAGCGGGGGACCGUAAGGCCUCGCGCGAUUGGAGAGGCCGAUGGCAGAUUAGGUAGUUGGGGGGGUAAAGGCUCACCAAGCCUGCGAUCUGUAGCUGGUCUGAGAGGACGGCCAGCCACACUGGGACUGAGACACGGCCCAGACUCCUACGGGAGGCAGCAGUGGGGAAUUUUGGACAAUGGGAGCAAGCCUGAUCCAGCCAUUCCGCGUGCAGGAUGAAGGCCUUCGGGUUGUAAACUGCUUUUGUACGGAACGAAAAGGCUCUUUCUAAUACAGAGGGCUCAUGACGGUACCGUAAGAAUAAGCACCGGCUAACUACGUGCCAGCCGCCGCCGUAAUAC
rnacentral:rRNA from 1 species